rnacentral:lncRNA from 1 species
CGUGAUGUAACUCUCUGGCAGGGAUGUCAAUGUAUUUGUAGCUUCGCUAAGCCUGGAGCUGAGAGAGCUAAUGAUUGCCUCAACUUCUGGUAAAGUGCAGUUCUAAGGGCAUUUUCAGCCUUCACUUCUUCCUACCCUCCCUUUUAAAAGAUUUCAAAACCAAGCCUUUAAUUUUCAGCAAGACCUUUUCAUGUGACCUUUAGAACAUAGCAAGGGUUAUUUUAACAGUAAAUCAACACAAGGUAGCGGGGUCCUUGGGCUGAAUUCUGGGGAUGUGUUCUCACAGUGAGAGCUGAGGUAUCCAUCACAGCGAGGAUGUCACCACUGUCCCACACAUCUACCCGUAAGACUUCCCAGUGUUCUGGGGGGGUUGUAGCAGCUCGUGACAAAUGGGAAUGGGAAGCCCUCUUCACUUCUACAGUUGUGGCAUGGAGUACUUUUAUGACAAAGAUCACUGGCAGCAGAGGAGCAGUCUGACAGAGUGGUGUCUGACAUGGAAGUGCAUGUGAAGCAACAGAGGGCCACUGAAUUCCUCCAUGCGGACAAAAAUGGCACCCAUUGGUAUUCAUCAACGUUUGCUGAACACUUAUGGUGACCAAACAGUGGAUAUCAGCACAGUGAGGUGGCGGUGGUGCGUUUCAGCGGUGGUGACAGUGUUGUGAAAGACAAGCCAUGUUCCGGAUGGCCAUGUACAACUGUCACAACAUGAAAUAAACAGCAUCUCAAUCAGAUCGUCCAUAUGAAUCAGCUACUGGUGGUGACUAUGUUGAAAAACAGUGUUUUGUAGCUGGGAAUUUAUUCUAUCAAAUAGUGUUAUUGUGCUCUUUGUUGUAGUUUCCAUUGAAAUAAAUAGGAGGCGUUGCUUUUGGAGCAACCUAUUUAUAUGAACAUACAAGAGGGUUUGGAUGGUGAUGGUGGUGUUGACUAACAGAAGGGAUUUUCUUUCUCUGAAAGAACAAGAUUAAAAAAUUGGAGCAAAUCUGCCUCCUUUACCUCAGAUCAGAAAAGAAUGGAAAACAGCAGGGUGGCCAAGGAUUUGUCCUGUAAAUGCUUAAGAUCUGUAUUGUUAGGAGCUGGUAUGUCCUUUUGGAGAAGAACACCCUUAGAAGGAGAUUUUUUAAAGGAUUUUUUUCCCCAUCUCUCUUCCCCCCCCCCCCCCCCACUACAAGAAGGGCAGAUGUAGACAUCCUGACAUAAAAUAACUUUAUAUCAGAAUAAGUCAUAUUAUCUAAUAUUGGAAACACCAUGCUGCUAUUAGCACUAUGCCUACAUGAUAAGGAAAGUGAGCCACUUCAUUUUUAUUGACCCUGCUAAAAUUGUACAGCUUUGUGAGGCUUUUGAUGGUAGCGAUUCAUUUCAUAAAAUCUAUGCCUACACAAACCAACCAUUUCAUCUCCACUGUGUUUUCUCAUUUCUAAUGCUUCUUGUAUUAACAAACACUGCUGAUGUGUGGGAGGUUCAAGAUGCUCAAACACAGAGAAGCACUCUGUGUAACUUCAGGGAAAAGGG